AGGAGUAGGUGGACGGCUGACGGUGACCACAUCCCUUGAUGGAGAAUUUCCAUCUAAAGGUUAAACAUGGUGGUCGCUGAGGAAAGUCCUCCCUCGCUCUGGACCAGGGAGCCACGCAAGUGGUAGGGGCGAGAGUCCCUGCAGAGGCACAGAAACGACACAGCCGGUAGAUAAUGCGAUGAUGUGCCAUGGCACUGAGGUCUCUACCGGAUUUGCUGAAACGGCCAUCUGCCCCUGGAGCAAGCCCAAAUAGUGGGAUCGGCUGUCCAGAC
rnacentral:RNase_P_RNA from 1 species